UUUAUCAUUUCUUCAAAGAAAAUAACACAAAACCAUUCACUCCUAAACCAAAAAACCCUAGUAAUUUAUUUCACACGCUUUAGCGAAAUCGACGAUAUCUCUCAACAGCGACGCUUCUUUAGCGACAACGACCACUCGCUCUGCCGGAGCAGGGAUCGUGGACGGAAAGGUUAAUAAAACUUUCUAAUAACUUCUAUUUUUAGUUUUUGGGUCAAAAUUGAUUCACGAUUUCUGGCAUUUUUAUUCGUUGUCCACAAGUUUAUGAAAGGAUGAAGGUGAACAAGAAAGAAGCACAAAACCAACCUCCGAAAAAUGCCGCUCAAUCUGGUUGGCGAACUUUGAAGAACAAUUGACAGGGAAUCAUUGAUGGCAAAGGCGAAAGCCUAAGCAAAUAUGAAUGGUCCUGAAAAAGAUGGAAGUCAACAUGGGUGAGAGAAGGCCAUUGGAAUUGUCGACUAUCGACUAGAUAUAAGGGUGUGCUUCAGUAUUUAAGAGCUAAAAAGUAUUGUGUUGAAGUUCGCCGAAAAUAAUCACAACUCCCUUUCCAAUAAAACAUCGACAUCCAAACAUUAUGCAACAGACAACAAGAAAAUGAUGAUCGACGUUGAAAAGAUGAUAGCAAGCUACAGAGCUUCUGUAGUGGCCAUGUCAUAAAUUUUGGA